UGUGAACCAUUAACAUUAAUAAUUUGAUUCCAGGGCCGUCUCCAUAUCCCGUCCGGUAUGGGCGCCAAAACCAUGAACCUCAAUACCCCGUUCGGUAUGAGGGUGAAACGGGCCGUCCCCAUACCCCGUCCGGUAUGGGCACCAAAACCAUAAACUUUAAUACCCCAUCCGGUAUGAGGGUGAAAUGGGUCGUCCCCAUACCCCGUCCAGUAUGGGCGCCAAAACACAUAAGGUCUCCGUACCCCGUUCGAUAUGAGAGACCACAUUCCCAGUAGGGUUCCCUAUGGACCCGGUCCGUCCACCAUCUCCCAGGAUAUCUAGUCAGGCUAUCCACAUUAUUCAUUAAUCAAUUCACAUAAACUUUUUUCCAUUUUCCUUGGUCUCAAUUAUCCAAUUAUAUACAAAUAC
rnacentral:lncRNA from 1 species